CGGCUUAGCUCAGUUGGCUAGAGCGCCUGGUUCAUACCCAGUAGGUCGUAGGUUCAAAUCCCACAGCCG
rnacentral:tRNA from 1 species